rnacentral:lncRNA from 1 species
CAAGUGACAUUGGUAGUCAAUACUUCUUGGACCACAGGUUUGAAACUAGGCAGAAAACUGGCUCCAACUCGGUUUUACAAACAUAACUGCACUGAUUUCUAUAUUCUCUCACAGGUUAUGAGGAAACCAGCUCCAUUGAACAGUAGCCAUUCUCCUGCCUCAGCCUCCCAAGUAGCUGGGACCACAGGUGCCCGCCACCACGCCCGGCUGAUUUUUUGUAUUUUUAGUAGAGACGCGGUUUCACGGUGUUAGCCAGGAUGAUCUCGAGCUCCUGACCUCGUGAUCCGCCCGCCUCGGCCUCCCAAAAUGCUGGGAUUACAG